GCUGACUGGGGCAGGAGCCAAACACUUCAGACUGCUCAGCCUCAUAACAGGCAUGAUAUGGCCAUGGAAAGCAUCCUCAGGUUUCUUCACGGUACCUAGUCAGAGCCUGGAAGCUGUUUUGCCUCUGAGGAAGGAUUUCCAGGCUUGGAUGUUGUGCUCUUCAAGUACCUUGCUGUCCAUUUUCAGUGUAUCUACAAGUAUUGGUAUUGCUGGGGCAGAGAGAAGAGGAAGGAGAUUCAGGUGCUCUGUCAGUUUGCAAUCCCAUUGCCCUCAUCUAAUCCUACAACCAUGGAAGAAACCUACACAGUCACCUUCAGAUGCUGAAGCUGUUCUCUGGGGGAAAAUAGAAAGCCUUCUACAUAUAAAGCCCAACUAAAAAUGGCAUUUAAGAUCUAACUUGUU